CCUACGGGAGGCAGCAGUGAGGAAUAUUGGUCAAUGGACGAGAGUCUGAACCAGCCAAGUAGCGUGAAGGAUGACUGCCCUAUGGGUUGUAAACUUCUUUUAUAUGGGAAUAAAACGUUCCACGUGUGGGAUUUUGUAUGUACCAUCUGAAUAAGGAUCGGCUAACUCCGUGCCAGCAGCCGCGGUAAUACGGAGGAUCCGAGCGUUAUCCGGAUUUAUUGGGUUUAAAGGGAGCGUAGGUGGAUUGGUAAGUCAGUUGUGAAAGUUUGCGGCUCAACCGUAAAAUUGCAGUUGAAACUGGCAGUCUUGAGUACAGUAGAGGUGGGCGGAAUUCGUGGUGUAGCGGUGAAAUGCUUAGAUAUCACGAAGAACUCCGAUUGCGAAGGCAGUUCACUGGACUGCAACUGACACUGAGGCUCGAAAGUGUGGGUAUCAAACAGGAUUAGAUACCCUGGUAGUC
rnacentral:rRNA from 1 species